AGGACGAACGCUGGCGGCGUGCUUAACACAUGCAAGUCGAGCGGAAAGGCCCUUCGGGGUACUCGAGCGGCGAACGGGUGAGUAACACGUGAGCAAUCUGCCUUUAGCUCUGGGAUAGCUCCGGGAAACCGGGAUUAAUACCGGAUAAGACCACUUUAGACAUCUGUUGUGGUGGAAAGAAUUUCGGCUAGAGAUGAGCUCGCGGCCUAUCAGCUUGUUGGUGGGGUAACGGCCCACCAAGGCGACGACGGGUAGCCGGCCUGAGAGGGCGACCGGCCACACUGGGACUGAGACACGGCCCAGACUCCUACGGGAGGCAGCAGUGGGGAAUAUUGCGCAAUGGGCGAAAGCCUGACGCAGCGACGCCGCGUGGGGGAUGAAGGCCUUCGGGUUGUAAACCCCUUUCAGCAGGGACGAAGCGAAAGUGACGGUACCUGCAGAAGAAGCGCCGGCUAACUACGCGCCAGCAGCCGC
rnacentral:rRNA from 1 species